GUAAUACUAUUGUUCUUCCUAUGUUAUUGCAAGUGUAUCGAUGGGAUCCAGAGCACUAUGAAUCUGGAUCAUAGCAACACUAUACAGCUCUGCAUAUGGCAGAGAACAAGACAUACAGUUUCUAGCAAUCUAAUGCAUGGUUAAGUGAGUCACGGUGACUCAGAGGAGUUCCUCACGGGGCACGGGAUACAGUGGAAAUGCAUCUGCACUGGGAGUCAACCAUGGAUUGGAAGUCCAACCCUGCCUCUUCCAGAGCUACAACAAAGACAUCCGUGCUAGAGAAGCAGCCCAAAUGUUCUGCCUGCUGGAGCCCUCAAGACAUAAUUUGAAAAAUCUUAGAUGCCUUAUAUUGAAGAGGGUGGCAUCAGAAGAUGGAAGGGGACUGAUUCUCACAAGACUGGAAUCAGGGCUUGAAAGAGAACCACCUGACCUA